AUUGAACGCUGGCGGCAGGCCUAACACAUGCAAGUCGAGCGGAGCGGCGGACGGGGGAGUAAUGCCUAGGAAUAUGCGGGGGAGAGGGGGAUAACGUCCGGAAACGGGCGCUAAUACCGCAUACUAUCAGAUGAGCCUAGGUCGGUUUAGCUAGUUGGUGGGGUAAAGGCCUACCAAGGCGACGAUCCGUAACUGGUCUGAGAGGAGGAUCAGUCGCACUGGAACUGAGACACGGUCCAGACUCCUACGGGAGGCCGCAGUGGGGAAUUUUGGACAAUGGGCGAAAGCCUGAUCCAGCCAUGCCGCGUGUGUGAAGAAGGUCUUCGGAUUGUAAAGCACUUUCAGUUGUGAGGCAUUCCCAACAGAAUAAGCACCGGCUAACUUCGUGCCAGCCGCCGCGGUACUUC
rnacentral:rRNA from 1 species